rnacentral:rRNA from 1 species
CGGAGAGUUUGAUCCUGGCUCAGGACGAACGCGGGCGGCGGUCUAUCAUGCAAGUCGAGCGGACAGAAGGGUGCUUGCUCCCGGAUGUUAGCGGCGGACGGGUGAGAAACACGUGGGUAACCUGCCUGUAAGACUGGGAUAACUCCGGGAAACCGGAGCUAAUACCGGAUAGUUCCUUGAACCGCAUGGUUCAAGGAUGAAAGACGGUUUCGGCUGUCACUUACAGAUGGACCCGCGGCGCAUUAGCUAGUUGGUGGGGUAAUGGCUCACCAAGGCGACGAUGCGUAGCCGACCUGAGAGGGUGAUCGGCCACACUGGGACUGAGACACGGCCCAGACUCCUACGGGAGGCAGCAGUAGGGAAUCUUCCGCAAUGGACGAAAGUCUGACGGAGCAACGCCGCGUGAGUGAUGAAGGUUUUCGGAUCGUAAAGCUCUGUUGUUAGGGAAGAACAAGUGCGAGAGUAACUGCUCGCACCUUGACGGUACCUAACCAGAAAAGCCACGGGUAACUACGUGCCACCAGCCGCGGUAAUACGUACGUGGCAAGCGUUGUCCGGAAUUAUUGGGCGUAAAGGGCUCCCCAGGCGGUUUCUUAAAUCUGAUGUGAAACCCCCCGGCUCACCCGGGGAGGGUCAUUGGAAAACUGGGAAACUUGAGUUGCAGAAAAAGAGAGUGGAAUUCCCCCUGUAUCAGUGAAAUGCGUAAAAUGGGGGAGGAAACCCCCGGGGCAAAAGCGAGUCCCCCGCCCCUGAA